rnacentral:rRNA from 1 species
CAGUCGUACCUGCGGGUAAUCAGCCUUUUGGGUGUGAUUAUGUGGAGCGUGAGGAGUUAAUCACCCUCAUCUUUGCAUAUUCGUGCACUUUGGGUGUACUUGCUCGUGUGGUAGGUUAACAUCAAUUUUGAUCAUCAUAAAAUGAUUGGAGGAAUGUAGCUUCGAUCUCGUAUUGAAGUGUUAUAGCCUUUGGUAGAUGUGAUGAUCGGGAUUGAGGAUUGCAACGGAUACCCUUCGGGGCUACCCGUCUGAUCUCUGAAAGUUGCUCUGGUGCUGAAAGCUUGCUUAUGGUAUCAAAGUUGACGUUCAAUAGGUUAGAACGGGAUAAA